GGUUAAGCGACUAAGCGUACACGGUGGAUGCCACGGCAGUCAGAGGCGAUGAAGGACGUGCUAAUCUGCGAUAAGCGUCGGUAAGGUGAUAUGAACCGUUAUAACCGGCGAUUUCCGAAUGGGGAAACCCAGUGUGUUUCGACACACUAUCAUUAACUGAAUCCAUAGGUUAAUGAGGCGAACCGGGGAACUGAAACAUCUAAGUACCCCGAGGAAAAGAAAUCAACCGAGAUUCCCCAGUAGCGGCGAGCGAACGGGGAGGAGCCCAGAGCCUGAAUCAGUGUGUGUGUUAGUGGAAGCGUCUGGAAAGGCGCGCGAUACAGGGUGACAGCCCCGUACACAAAAAUGCACAUACUGUGAGCUCGAUGAGUAGGGCGGGACACGUGGUAUCCUGUCUGAAUAUGGGGGACCAUCCUCCAAGGCUAAAUACUCCUGACUGACCGAUAGUGAACCAGUACCGUGAGGGAAAGGCGAAAAGAACCCCGGCGAGGGGAGUGAAAAAGAACCUGAAACCGUGUACGUACAAGCAGUGGGAGCCUCUUUUAUGGGGUGACUGCGUACCUUUUGUAUAAUGGGUCAGCGACUUAUAUUCUGUAGCAAGGUUAACCGAAUAGGGGAGCCGAAGGGAAACCGAGUCUUAACUGGGCGUUAAGUUGCAGGGUAUAGACCCGAAACCCGGUGAUCUCAGCCAUGGGCAGGUUGAAGGUUGGGUAACACUAACUGGAGGACCGAACCGACUAAUGUUGAAAAAUUAGCGGAUGACUUGUGGCUGGGGGUGAAAGGCCAAUCAAACCGGGAGAUAGCUGGUUCUCCCCGAAAGCUAUUUAGGUAGCGCCUCGUGAAUUCAUCUCCGGGGGUAGAGCACUGUUUCGGCAAGGGGGUCAUCCCGACUUACCAACCCGAUGCAAACUGCGAAUACCGGAGAAUGUUAUCACGGGAGACACACGGCGGGUGCUAACGUCCGUCGUGAAGAGGGAAACAACCCAGACCGCCAGCUAAGGUCCCAAAGUCAUGGUUAAGUGGGAAACGAUGUGGGAAGGCCCAGACAGCCGGGAUGUUGGCUUAGAAGCAGCCAUCAUUUAAAGAAAGCGUAAUAGCUCACUGGUCGAGUCGGCCUGCGCGGAAGAUGUAACGGGGCUAAACCAUGCACCGAAGCUGCGGCAGCGACGCUUAUGCGUUGUUGGGUAGGGGAGCGUUCUGUAAGCCUGUGAAGGUGUACUGUGAGGUAUGCUGGAGGUAUCAGAAGUGCGAAUGCUGACAUAAGUAACGAUAAAGCGGGUGAAAAGCCCGCUCGCCGGAAGACCAAGGGUUCCUGUCCAACGUUAAUCGGGGCAGGGUGAGUCGACCCCUAAGGCGAGGCCGAAAGGCGUAGUCGAUGGGAAACAGGUUAAUAUUCCUGUACUUGGUGUUACUGCGAAGGGGGACGGAGAAGGCUAUGUUGGCCGGGCGACGGUUGUCCCGGUUUAAGCGUGUAGGCUGGUUUUCCGAGCAAAUCCGGAAAAUCAAGGCUGAGGCGUGAUGACGAGGCACUACGGUGCUGAAGCAACAAAUGCCCUGCUUCCGGGAAAAGCCUCUAAGCAUCAGGUAACAUCAAAUCGUACCCCAAACCGACACAGGUGGUCAGGUAGAGAAUACCAAGGCGCUUGAGAGAACUCGGGUGAAGGAACUAGGCAAAAUGGUGCCGUAACUUCGGGAGAAGGCACGCUGAUAUGUAGGUGAAGCGACUUGCUCGUGGAGCUGAAAUCAGUCGAAGAUACCAGCUGGCUGCAACUGUUUAUUAAAAACACAGCACUGUGCAAACACGAAAGUGGACGUAUACGGUGUGACGCCUGCCCGGUGCCGGAAGGUUAAUUGAUGGGGUUAGCGGUAACGCGAAGCUCUUGAUCGAAGCCCCGGUAAACGGCGUACCGUAACUAUAACGGUCCUAAGGUAGCGAAAUUCCUUGUCGGGUAAGUUCCGACCUGCACGAAUGGCGUAAUGAUGGCCGGGCUGUCUCCACCCGAGACUCAGUGAAAUUGAACUCGCUGUGAAGAUGCAGUGUACCCGCGGCAAGACGGAAAGACCCCGUGAACCUUUACUAUAGCUUGACACUGAACAUUGAGCCUUGAUGUGUAGGAUAGGUGGGAGGCUUUGAAGUGUGGACGCCAGUCUGCAUGGAGCCGACCUUGAAAUACCACCCUUUAAUGUUUGAUGUUCUAACGUUGGCCCCUGAUCGGGGUUGCGGACAGUGUCUGGUGGGUAGUUUGACUGGGGCGGUCUCCUCCUAAAGAGUAACGGAGGAGCACGAAGGUUGGCUAAUCUCGGUCGGACAUCAGGAGGUUAGUGCAAUGGCAUAAGCCAGCUUGACUGCGAGCGUGACGGCGCGAGCAGGUGCGAAAGCAGGUCAUAGUGAUCCGGUGGUUCUGAAUGGAAGGGCCAUCGCUCAACGGAUAAAAGGUACUCCGGGGAUAACAGGCUGAUACCGCCCAAGAGUUCAUAUCGACGGCGGUGUUUGGCACCUCGAUGUCGGCUCAUCACAUCCUCGGGGCUGAAGUAGGUCCCAAGGGUAUGGCUGUUCGCCAUUUAAAGUGGUACGCGAGCUGGGUUUAGAACGUCGUGAGACAGUUCGGUCCCUAUCUGCCGUGGGCGCUGGAGAACUGAGGGGGCUGCUCCUAGUACGAGAGGACCGGAGUGGACGCAUCACUGGUGUUCGGGUUGUCAUGCCAAUGGCACUGCCCGGUAGCUAAAUGCGGAAGAGAUAAGUGCUGAAAGCAUCUAAGCACGAAACUUGCCCCGAGAUGAGUUCUCCCUGAGACUUUAAGUCUCCUGAAGGAACGUUGAAGACGACGACGUUGAUAGGCCGGGUGUGUAAGCGCAGCGAUGCGUUGAGCUAACCGGUACUAAUGAACCGUGAGGCUUAACCUU
rnacentral:rRNA from 1 species